AUUGAACGCUGGCGGCAUGCCUUACACAUGCAAGUCGAACGGUAACGGGCCUUCGGGUGCCGACGAGUGGCGAACGGGUGAGUAAUGCAUCGGAACGUACCUUUCAGUGGGGGAUAACGUAGCGAGAGUUACGCUAAUACCGCAUAUUCUGUGAGCAGGAAAGCAGGGGAUCGCAAGACCUUGCGCUGAUUGAGCGGCCGAUGUCGGAUUAGCUAGUUGGUGAGGUAAAGGCUCACCAAGGCGACGAUCUGUAGCGGGUCUGAGAGGAUGAUCCGCCACACUGGAACUGAGACACGGUCCAGACUCCUACGGGAGGCAGCAGUGGGGAAUUUUGGACAAUGGGGGCAACCCUGAUCCAGCCAUGCCGCGUGAGUGAAGAAGGCCUUCGGGUUGUAAAGCUCUUUCGGUCGGGAAGAAAUCGCAUGGGUUAAUACCCUGUGCGGAUGACGGUACCGGCAUAAGAAGCACCGGCUAACUACGUGCCAGCCGCCGCCGUAAGAC
rnacentral:rRNA from 1 species